rnacentral:rRNA from 1 species
GAUGAACGCUAGCUACAGGCCUAACACAUGCAAGUCGAGGGACCGGCGCACGGGUGAGUAACACGUAUCCAACCUGCCCUUUACUCGGGGAUAGCCGUUCGAAAGAAAGAUUAAUACCCGAUAUAAAGGAUGGGGAUGCGUUCCAUUAGGUGGUUGGGGAGGUAACGGCCCACCAAGCCUUCGAUGGAUAGGGGUUCUGAGAGGAAGGUCCCCCACAUUGGAACUGAGACGCGGUCCAAACUCCUGCGGGGGGCAGCAGUGGGGUAUAUUGGUCAAUGGGCGCGAGCCUGAACCAGCCGAGUAGCGUGAAGGAUGAGGGCUUAUUGGUCGUAAACUUCUGUUAUAGAAGAAUAGGUGUUAUAUGAAUAAGGAUCAGCUAACUCCGUGCCAGCAGCCGGGGUAAUAC